UACGUAGGGCGCAAGCGUUAUCCGGAAUUAUUGGGCGUAAAGAGCUCGUAGGCGGUUUGUCGCGUCUGCCGUGAAAGUCCGGGCUCAACUCCGGAUCUGCGGUGGGUACGGGCAGACUAGAGUGAUGUAGGGGAGACUGGAAUUCCUGGUGUAGCGGUGAGUGCGCAGAUAUCAGGAGGAACACCGAUGGCGAAGGCAGGUCGCUGGGACGUACUGACACUAGGCGCGAAAGCGUGGGGAGCGAACA
rnacentral:rRNA from 1 species